CACUUGGUGGUUUAGUGGUAGAAUUCUCACCUUCUAUGUGGGAGACCCAGGUUCGAUUCCUGACCAGUGC
rnacentral:tRNA from 1 species